GCGGACGUGGCGGAAUUGGUAGACGCGCUAGAUUUAGGUUCUAGUGUCUUCGACGUGAGAGUUCGAGUCUCUCCGUCCGCA
rnacentral:tRNA from 1 species